AUGGUGAUAUGAUAAAUUACUGCUUGAAAUUUUCAUGAUUAAGUCAUACUAAUCCCCAAGUAACCUAUUUUUCAGGCAUCAUGCAUGAGGCUCUCAUUGAUGGUUUGGAGGUUGAUGGUGGGAGGGUUUUUGUUUCCUCUAAUUGACAAUUUUCUACAUAAUUACUCUAGGUAGAUAUUAGAUUUCCUAUUACCUAGUUUCCAUUGGCAUAUUGCACAAUUGCAGCUAUACAAGGAUCAAUUUUAUAUGCAUUUAUUUUUUAUUUUUGCUUGGAUAAAAAAUAUUAUUUAAUCAAU
rnacentral:lncRNA from 1 species